ensembl:lncRNA
GUGCCAUUGCCUUCUCACUCAGCUAUUAAAAAGAAUGCAUUUGAAUCAGUUCUAAUGAGGUGGAUGAAACUGGAGCCUAUUAUACAGAGCGAAAAAGAAAACUGUCAUCCUGAACAAAGCCACGAAUGGGACGCUGCGGUGCAGGACAGAGAAGCAGGGCCACGGUGCGGAACUGGGAUGAAGCAACAGUGCCCUCUUCUGACUACAAUGAGGAACCACACAAAAUUCAAGAUGCUCAGGCCCUAGAGAUCUGCUUUAGGACGCUGUGCCCCUAGGUCCAGCCUCAGCAGAGUCCAGGGAUAUCCUCAGGAUGGACGACGUCUGCGAAUGAAGAAAGAUAGAUAAAGAGAUAAAGAAAGAGACACGGG